UACCAGCACCCCGAGUGGUCGGGACGAUUAUUGGGCCUAAAGCAUCCGUAGCCGGUUCUACAAGUCUUCCGUUAAAUCCACCUGCUCAACAGUUGGGCUGCGGAGGAUACUAUAGAGCUAGGGGGCGGGAGAGGCAAGCGGUACUUAGUGGGUAGGGGUAAAAUCCGUUGAUCCAUUGAAGACCACCAGUGGCGAAGGCGGCUUGCCAGAACGCACUCGACGGUGAGGGAUGAAAGCUGGGGGAGCAAACCGG
rnacentral:rRNA from 1 species